GAAGGGGGCUAGCGUUGCUCGGAAUCACUGGGCGUAAAGCGCACGUAGGCGGGUUGCCAAGUCGGGGGUGAAAUCCUGGAGCUCAACUCCAGAACUGCCUUCGAUACUGGCGAUCUUGGAGUCCGGGAGAGGUGAGUGGAACUGCGAGUGUAGAGGUGAAAUUCGUAGAUAUUCGCAAGAACGCCAGUGGCGAAGGCGGCUCACUGGCCCGGUACUGACGCUGAGGUGCGGAAGCGUGGGGAGCAAACAGGAUUAGAUACCCUGGUAGUCCACGCCGUAAACUAUGGAGGCUAGCCGUUGGACAGCUUGCUGUUCAGUGGCGCAGCUAACGCAUUAAGCCUCCCGCCUGGGGAGUACGGUCGCAAGAUUA
rnacentral:rRNA from 1 species